ensembl:lncRNA
CUGAGCACCAAAGAAUUGAUGCUUUUGAACUGUGGUGUUGGAGAAGACUCUUGAGAGUCCCUUGGACUGCAAGGAGAUCCAACCAGUCCAUCCUAAAGGAGAUCAGUCCUGAGCGUUCAUUGGAAGGCCUGAUGCUGAAGCUGAAACUCCAAUACUUUGGCCACCUCAUUCAAAGAGCUGACUCAUUUUAAAAGACCCUGAUGCUGGGAAAGAUUGAAGGUGGGAGAAGAAGGGGACGACAGAGGAUGAGAUGGUUGGAUGGCAUCACCGACUCAAUGGACAUGGGUUUGGGUAGACUCCAGCAGUUGGUAAUGAACAGGGAGGCCUGGCGUGCUGCAGUUCAUGGGGUCGCAAAGAGUCGAACACGACUGAGCGACUGAACUGAACUGAUUCUUCAUUAUGAGCUUAGACCAACGUGAUCAAGACACUGGUGAGGAUGCACAUAUGCCUGGCGUGGCAAAUAGAACUGAUCAGCUGAGCCAUGUAAUCGGAUGGUUGUUCUCUGUAGCCCUUGGUUUCCAGAUCUGUGAGAUCUGCUGUAGGAGAACCCACACGUGCUCCUACACGGAGAAGGAACACCCUGCGAGGUAUGGCUCCAGCUGCCUCCCCUGGCCAUUCCCCUCUCUGCCUGGCAGCCUUCGGAGUGAUGGUCACACAGGUAGGUCAGUGAGUCGCAUGGAGGUCAGCCACCCGCUUUUUUCUAGCAGUAAUAUUCUUUUCUUGGUCAGAAAUCAUGUUGUAUGGAAUAUCAUGAAACAAAUAGUGCUCUUGAUGUGUCCAUAAAUGGCAUUGCUGGCAGAAAAGGAUCCAACCUUUCAUAUAUAUAUUUUAUUUCAAGAAGGAAUCUGUUCAUAUCAGUUCAUUUUUGCUUAAGAGACUUUAACCUCUUGGUUAGAUAGGUCAGUCUUGUUCUCUGAAAAAUUAUAAUUGAUUUAGGCUUCUGAUUUCUCAGUUGAAACCUUUCCACAUUUAUAUAAAGUAUUGAAACAUUUAAGGGAACAUAAUGGUUACAGGAUUAUAGCAAUAGUUGUAAGUUCAGUUCAGUCAUCAUCAGUUCAGUCGCUUAGUCGUGUCCGACUCUCUGCGACCCCAUGGACACCAGGCCUCCCUGUCCAUCCCAACUCCCAGAGUUUACUUAAACCCACAUCCAUUGAGUCAGUGAUGCCAUCCAACCAUCCCAUCCUUUGUCGUCCGCUUCUCCUCCUGCCUUAAGUCUUUCCCAGCAUCAGGGUCUUUUCCAAGGAGACAGCUCUUCACAUCAGGUAGCCAAAGUAUUGGAGUUUCAGCUUCAAAAUCAGUCCUUCCAUGAAUAGUCAGGACUGAUAUCCUUUAGGAUGACUGGUUGUAAGUUACAUAAAAAUAAUAUAAAUAUAUUAUUAUAUUUGGGCUUCCCUGGUGGCUUAGAUGGUAAAGAAUCUGCAAGUUUGAUCCCUGAAUUGGGAAGAUCCCCUGGAGAAGGAAAUGGCAACCCAGUCCAAUAUUCUUGCCUGGAGAACUCCAUGGACAGAGGGGCCUGGCAAGGUACAAUCCAUAGGGUUGCGAAGAAUCAGAUAUGACUGAGUGACUAGAGCUUUUUAUUUCCACUUUCAUGGUUAUGUUUAUAAGAUUCAGCAUGGUUUAUGAGAUCUGCAAGAAUAAUACAAACACUUGGAAAGUUGUUUGUUAAGAGAGACACCUGAGUUACAUUAAAAGGAAAUCUAAUACAGAGGUUUAUACAUGUUAUUGAAAAGUUGGAUGGCAUUUUAUCUGAAUCUAUAAAAUCUUCCUUAAAAGUGAUUGUCAA